rnacentral:rRNA from 2 species
CGAUGAAACUUUAACAGAACCCUUCGGGGCGAAGAUAAAGUGGAUUAGCGGCGGACGGGUGAGUAACACGUGAGUAACCUGCCUUAGACAUUGGGAUAGCCUCGGGAAACCGGGAUUAAUACCAAAUAAAAUCAUAAUGACACAUGUCAUAACGAUCAAAACUCCGGUGGUCUAAGAUGGACUCGCGUCCCAUUAGCUAGUUGGUAGAGUAAAAGCCUACCAAGGCGACGAUGGGUAGCCGGCCUGAGAGGGUGAACGGCCACAUUGGAACUGAGAAACGGUCCAAACUUCUACGGGAGGCAGCAGUGGGGAAUAUUGCACAAUGGAGGGAACUCUGAUGCAGCGACGCCGCGUGAACGAAGAAGGCUUUCGAGUCGUAAAGUUCUUUUAUAUGGGAAGAUAAUGACGGUACCAUAAGAAAAAGCCCCGGCUAACUACGUGCCAGCAGCCGCGGUAAUACGUAGGGGGCUAGCGUUGUCCGGAAUCACUGGGCGUAAAGGGUUCGCAGGCGGAAAUGCAAGUCAGAUGUAAAAGGCAGUAGCUUAACUACUGUAAGCAUUUGAAACUGCAUAUCUUGAGAAGAGUAGAGGUAAGUGGAAUUUUUAGUGUAGCGGUGAAAUGCGUAGAUAUUAAAAAGAAUACCGGUGGCGAAGGCGACUUACUGGGCUCAUUCUGACGCUGAGGAACGAAAGCGUGGGUAGCAAACAGGAUUA